rnacentral:tRNA from 1 species
CAGGACAUAGUUAAAUUAGAAUAUUGGCUUUGGGGGCCAGAGGUGGGGGUUUAAUUCCCCUUGUCUUGA